rnacentral:lncRNA from 1 species
GAUAAUUUUAUUGAGUUGUGAAAAGUUUCUCUCCCAUAACAUCCUCUCUCUUCCUUUAACCCUCAUAAUGAUAAGAGCAAGAACAUAUUAUUCUUAAACUUCUCCAGAUAAAUGGAGGUGGUCUCUUUACCUUUAGCCAGGUCAUGUGGAGGAAUGUACCUUUCGUGGUCACGAUCUUUGUCUCGCAAAUAUCUAUAUCUUUCCUUAUCCCUCGAAUCUCUUUCUAGAUUAUAAUCCUUCCAAUCAUGAUUCCUUUUCUUCCAAACUUGAUCUCACCUUGCUUUUUAUAGGUAGUUCAGGAUCCCCUUAUUUGGUUUGACAUGAGCUGGGUUUCUUCAUCAAGUGAUUUUGCAUCAUCAUCAUCAUCAUCAUAAGUUUUGUUAUCCUUAGAACGAAAGACAUUGACCGCCUUUGGAAUUGAUCCCGUCAGUUGUUUGGUUAGAAGAUCAAAUUUUGUCACUACGUUAGUCAUAUUCUCAUCUCUCUCCUCAUCCUUCUUCCUUUUUUCUUAACUUUCAAAAGAUGUUGAGGGAUCUCCUACAGCCACCUCGGUAUCUCUUGAAUGCCAAUCUCGAUUUUUCUUAGUCAGUUAAUAUAAUAAAGCUGUCGCAACACCAUAAGAUUGUUUAACUAUAGAUCUACCGACAGCAUUAUCGGCUACUAUCUUGUACAAUUGAUCUAAUGACCUAUAAAACAUUUGGAGGGGCACUUUGUUCAGAACCUCGUGAUUUGGGAAUUGCAACAACUUUUUGUUAACCUUUGCCAUACACUUCAUGUAAUAAUUCACCACAUAAUUGAAAAAAGUUAAUGAUAUCAUCACUCAAUUAUAGCAUCUUUAUUGGUGGAAAGAAUCUAUCCAAGAAUGCUUCUGUAAAUUCAACCAAUGAGGUGAUAGAACCCACAUAUAACUCCCACAACCAUAACAUCAAUUCUUCCGUUAAUGAAAAUUUGAAGAGUCACAUAAGAUGGACUCUUGCGAAAUGUGGGCAAUCUCGAAUGGGAGGCACACAUUAAUAAAAUUCUUCAAAUGAAGGUUGGUAUAUUCAAGGACUUUUCCCUAAACAAACCCUUCAUUUGAAGUAAAUGAAGCAUCACACUAGUAAUGUGGAACACCCGUUCUUUCCCGUUGGUGGAAUAUGAAUGGCAAUAGCUUGGCCCACAUCCCCGAGGUAAUCCUCAUCCUUGAGAUGCCCGUCACAAAUAAUGAUGGUAUUGCUAUCAUUUUGUCUCAUGGUAUUGUGGAGACUGGUUAUCAUCUGAAAGAUGACAAAACAAAAAACAAGAUAAACUAAACACUACAAAGUGACUUACAAUAAUAAACAGAAUUAAAUUUGAUAAUGCUCAAAUUAUACUUCAAAAGUAUAAGUUGUUUUUGUCAAUAUACAUUAUCCAACAAGAGUCGAGGCCGAUUUCAUAGGGAAUGAGAGCACGAGCUUUAAUCUAAAGUGUUAAAAGUUUCUACAAGUUGGCUCAUAAUAAGAUGAAAAUCAAUUGGGAAAAUAAAGCUGGG